rnacentral:lncRNA from 1 species
UUCCACAGAGCUGAGGAGAAGAGUAAUAGAUACUUGUUAGGUGCUCAAUAAAUUCUUAUCAGUGAAUUAUUUCUUUCAGAAGUGGGAAUAUGAUCUAAUUCCUAGAAAACACUCUUACUCCUACUGUGAGGGAAAUAUCUAUUUUAGGUAUUUAAAAAAUAUCCUAAGAUAAAAACAAAUUUGAUGAACAAUUUGAGAUUUUUUCUUUUUAUCCUAAGAAGCUAGAUUUUUUUCCUUUUAAUUUUUGUGCUGAGGAAGAUUCGCCCUGAGCUAACAUCCGUUACCAAUCCUCCUCUUUUUUUUGCUUAAGGAAGAUUCACCCUAAGCUAGCAUCUGUACCAGUAUUCCUAUUUUGUAUGUAGGUCACUGCCACAGCAUGGCCUCCAAUCAGUGGUGUAGGUCCAUGCCCAGGAACCGAACCUUGGCCACUGAAGUGGAAUGUGCCAAACUUAACCACUAGGCCAUGGGGCCGGCCCCACACAAGGCAUUCAUUUUAACAAAAUGAUAAACAUGGAGUUAAAUUUCAGGUGACAGAUUAGGAUUCAAAAUUUACAUCAGGAAAUCCAACAUGAUGGGGAAUUUUGCCUACAAUGUUUUUACUUGGAACAGAGAUAUGUGUUGCAUGAUUGGAAAAAAAGUACCCCUAAUUCAUGUGUAUGAUACUGAAAAUAUUUUCAUGUGAAAAAUUGUAAUUUGAAGGGAGAAAAUUAUAACGAACCCCACAAAAUCCCUUAGGGUCUCCUAAAGCAGGGGUGGGUUCCAUUUUUGGUAUUCUGGCAUGUUUGACCUUUGAUUUUUGUUAAGUGUCAUCUUUAGGUUUUACUCACUUUCUAUUUACAUUCAUACAAUGUUGUACAGAUGGUGCUACAUUCACACACAGCUUCUCUAGCCUAUGCCCUCAUUUUUUUUUAAAAAGUUAGUUUUUAGAAAAAUGUCAAAAAAUAUAGAGUUUAAGUAUUUCUUCUGGGUAAGCUAUUUAGUCUAAAGCCACAGAUAACCAAAAAGUACAAUGAAUAGCUUUAAGAAGGCAUCUUUGAGAUAUGCAUCUCUAAUAUUUGGCAUGUGUUUGCGUUCAUUUGUAUAUUUAUGCACAUAUACAGAUUUUGAAGCACUUUAAUACAGUAAGUAAAGGUUUUCAAGAGUUUUUCAAUUCAUUUUAAAACUUCUUGACUUUUUUACUCUAAAGUUCCUUGUCUGUUCAUACCUAUUCUAAAUAAUACGAAUUAGAAGAACAGUAUUAUGGGCAGAUCUGUAGAAAUAGUAAGUGAUCACUCAGGGAUUUGAUAGGCUAGGAUCAGAUGUAGCAUUAGCUUAUGAAGAAGUUUAUAGGCAUUGGAUGAAGAAAAUAAGAUACCAUCAAAUGAACGUUAAUGGAAGGUUCCACCUCAAGUCACAUAACAAAUUAUGGAACUUGUUUAUAAAUUUACACCUCUAACUCCUUCUCUUCCCAAGGUUCCAAGAUAUAAGAAGAGAAAGAAGAGAGAAAAUUAGUAUAUUACUGAGGGGCCAUAUAUAGGAGUAUGGUCAAGGAUGUAGCUUUAUUCAUCUUGAAGAGUCUCCUAGAAAAGAUAAAUUUUAAGUUAUGUCUUCAAAGAUGUAGAGAUUAGGGGCUGAUUGAAAAUGAAGGAAGUAUAUCCAGAUGGAAUGAACUCCAUAGUAAUAGGUCUGGUGAACUGAAAGUUAAAUUAGUUUGAUGGAAAGGAAGGUCUUUGCAGGGUAUAAUGAAAAAUUAAUUUGUUAAGACUAAGGUGAGAAUUGAUGCUGGACCGAAGACUCUGAAGCCUGAACUUAAUAUAACAGGCAAGACAAACGGAUAGGAUAACUUUUUUAAAGUGAAAAUAAAGGCCAGUUGUCACAGUGUGGCA